UUUAACACAUGACACGCUCGAACGAGAGUUUUUAACUCUAGUGGCGAACGUUUGCGUAAUACGUGAGAAUCUGCCCUUAGGAGAAGAAUAACUGCUGGAAACGGCUGCUAAAUCUUCAUAUGCCGAGAGGUGAAAUAGUUUAGGCUGCCUAAGGAUGAGCUCACGCCUGAUUAGCUAGUUGGUAAGGUAAUGGCUUACCAAGGCCACGAUCAGUAGCGGGUUUGAGAGAACGAUCAGCCACACUGGGACUGAGACACGGCCCAGACUCCUCCGGGAGGCAGCAGUGAGGAAUUUUCCGCAAUGGGCGAAAGCCUGACGGAGCAAUACCGCGUGAGGGAUGAAGGAUUUUGGUCUGUCAACCUCUUUUCUCAAGAAAGAAGUUCUGACGGUACUUGAGGAAUAAGCAUCGGCUAACUCCGUGCCAGCAGCCCGCGGU
rnacentral:rRNA from 1 species